UACGUAGGUGGCAAGCGUUGUCCGGAAUUACUGGGCGUAAAGGGUGCGUAGGCGGUCUUUCAAGCCAGAAGUGAAAGGCUACGGCUCAACCGUAGUAAGCUUUUGGAACUGUAAGACUUGAGUGCAGGAGAGGAGAGUGGAAUUCCUAGUGUAGCGGUGAAAUGCGUAGAUAUUAGGAGGAACACCAGUAGCGAAGGCGGCUCUCUGGACUGUAACUGACGCUGAGGCACGAAAGCGUGGGGAGCAAACAGGAUUAGAUACCCCUGUAGU
rnacentral:rRNA from 1 species